AGUAGUAAGCCGUGCCUGCUGUAGAGAGGAAGCAUUCAGGGGGUUGGAAGUGUGGAGACCCCAGUCUGAUUGCUGGAAUCAGUGCUCCUCGGUUCAGUGUUUUGAGACCAGGUCUUUAGCUUCUAGCUGGGCAUAUUUUUCUGCUUUGUAAUUUAACCUGUAUCUUUUUUUUCCCAUGUUCCUGCCUCAUCAGGGAAUUGUAAGAUUUAGGGGGAGGUGUGGGAAAUCUUACUCUUUGCCCUAAAGUAUUCAGCGAUCAGAAUUCUGGAUACCCUGCAAAACACCUCCAACCUCCCUGCCUUUGAACCCUGUGUUAACAAUGAGAAGCUUGUUUAUUUGAAGGCUGGGUUCUCAUUGGCCCACAGGGGUAGGUUGUAAUUGUGUGUCUAAAAAAUUGCCUUUUGCAUUCCCCAAUAGCAUGACAACUGGAAUAGUAAUUUGACUU
rnacentral:lncRNA from 1 species